UAGAUGCCCAGAGUCAGAGGUGACAAU
rnacentral:piRNA from 1 species